UGUACAUACUUAGGAUGAACAGAAUCUGUAUCUUUUCUAGAGAAAAGAAAGACAAAGAAUGGCUUAAUCACUGACUGUCAAAUAAAUGAAGGCCUAUCAACUGGAGAGAAACUGUUAGAUAAAAGAGAGAGAGAACUAAAACAAAAGAUCUACCCUAGAAGGAAGCACCAUUUUGAUUCUAAAGAUUGUGGGAGUCUCUUGGGCUCAUUGUUCUUGAAAAACUAUCUGUGGCAGUUCUUUGAGGCCUGGGAUUAAAAGGUGUUUCUCCAAGGAGAACUUGUUAGUGAUCUGCCUGGUGCCUAUACCAAAUUUUGGAGGUUCCCUGGAGUACUCAACCUGCAAAUCAUCUCAGAGAAAACAGAAAUGGAAAUAAUAUGAAGAUUCCUAGAGAGAAAACAAAGAGAUGGCAGAGAUAGCAUCUCAUUCAGGAAGUUUCAAACUGAAAGGGUCUGAGUGAGGACAGCUGCUACAGAAUUCCAUGACCUCUGCAAGACUUUCUGCCCUUUGAAGGAGAUGAUGGCCAGAUAUCAGCUUGAAAAUCAUGGCAAGCUCAGUUUGGCUGAAGAAGGAAGAAAGAAUGCCCAUGGCAAAACAAACAAACAAAUAAACCACACAAUCUGACACAUUGAUGAAUAAGCAAAGGCUUCGAUAUACAGAACUGCUCUUCCACACAGAUUCUCUUUUAUUCCUGGAAACUACUGGACACCCAAAUGAAAAAAAAAUUUCUCCCUCCUAACAUGACUCAUCACUUUAGAUCAAUCUGCUAACUGGUACUCUUCCAUUGCCAUAAAAUAGUGAAGGGAGGAUUUGAUGACAGAAAACCUGGGUUCAAGUAAAUAUGCCAUUUCUGGCUGUGUGAUUUUAGGCAAGACACUUAACCUCUCUGAGUUUAGCUUUCUUGUGGGUAAAAUACAGAAAAUGGCAACAUAUAUCAGUUAUGAUAAUUAAUUGAGCUAAUGUAUGUGAAGGUGUAUUUUGCCUCUAGAUGGUCAUGCAGUUUAGGACAUUGUGUCUUCGAAUGGGCUAAGGAGGAGAAGAAAGUGAAGAGAAUGCUGCUAAUGAAUAAAGCUGCUUCUAAACCCCAUCCACUCUGCAGGAACACACAAAUACAUCCAGAUUUAUGCAGACUGGUGUCAGGGGCUGCAUUCAUUGGCCAAUUUAAAUAAUUUUAUAUCUUAAAAUAAUUAUGGCAUUUGUAGUAGUGUUUUCCAACACAUAUGAGGUCUAAAACAAAAUGCCCCCAAAGACAACCACAUGCAAUCAUUGCAUUCAUUUUACAUUUUUAAUGAAUCUCCCUGCUCCCAGAGCUCUGUUGCUAUUCCCAGCAGCCCGGGUUCUGUUUUGUGUUCCUUCGUGGGUACACAGGGCAACCUGCCUGUUUUCUUGUCUCCAUAUGCAUUUUAACUUCAUAAGAAGACAGGAUAUGAGAAGUAAUCUCCUCUCAGGAGGUUUUUAUUUCUACAAAUUACCAGCUACAUGUAUCUUGUUAAAAAAAUCCAUAAAUAAGAUAAAACAGGAGUAUGUGUUUGUUUCUUGCCUAAAGCAAGCAGUGCAGCUUUUGCCCUGCUACUUGCUUACAAUGGAUUUAGAGACUGAGAGUAACUUCCCUUCCCUGAGCCUACAGUUCGUGCUCUGCCCUCCAUAUUCAGAAAACAGUAUUAGACGGAAGAGAAGGGGCCGAACAUCCCUGGCUUCAUCCAGAUGGAGCAAUCCCACUCCUCAAAGCAAUCUGAGGGCUAAGAGUGAUUUAAUAAAGAUUGCUAAGAAUGAUUUAAUAAAGAUUGCACAUGAGCAGCACUAGUAAAGAAUUUGGCAACAUAUAAUACAUAUAACACACUUAGGAAACACAUACCAAAUGUACACCACCUAUUUCUGCAGCACGUAAUCUUUGGUUAGGCUGUAACUGCCUUAAGGACUUUCCCAUCUAAAGUUGUAUCAAAUAUGAGCCUUACCAUAAUGCUGUCAGGCCAGGAAGGCAAGUAUUAUUCCUAACGGUGGCGCACAAGGUCCCCUACCAUCUUAUACCACACUGCAGUGUGCCCUCUCUGCUUCCUAGGUUCUAUCCACACUGACCUUUCUGUUUCUUGAACACAUCACGUAGUUCCUACCCCAGGACCUUUGCAUUGGUUGUUCCCUCUGUGGAACACUCUUCCCCUGGGUCUUUAAAUGACUGUCUCCCCACCAUACAGCUAUCAACUGAAAUUCCUCCUACUCAAAGAAACCUUCUCUGGCCACUUUAAAGAAACACUACCCUCAUCUACCCCUUCCCCAACACAUGCUUCUCUAUUAUUUUACCUUGUUUAUUGUCUUCAAAGGCCUUACCAUUCUCCGGAAUCAUUGCCUUUAUAUAUUGGUCUAUGGCCUCUGUUCCCCCGUAGAAUGAAAGGUCAAUGAAGGAAGGGACUUUGUCUAGUUCACUGCUAGGUUCCCAGCAUCUAGAACACUGCCUGGCACACAGGAGACACUAAAAAACUAUUUACUGAGUUCAUUUCAGUUUGGUCAAUGAGGAAACCAACAUCACAAAGAUGAAGUGAAUUGCUGGGAUAUAAUUAGGGCAAACCUGGGACAUCUCUUAACUUUCAGACCAGUGCUUUUCGCUCUAGGCAAGGAAGUUUACUACUUGCCCAUUGGGUAGCCCAGAAUUAACAUGUUGUCCUUUGGCGUGACACAAGAAGUUGAGAUUUCUUGUCUUCAGAAGUAGGAAUGGACAGUCAUCCUGUCAAGAUAUGUGUGUGUAAAAACUUAACCCAGGGCUCAAAGGU